UGAGAAAUGGUCCCAUUAUCUACUGUGCCAGUUUAAAGCUGGGCACUUAGUGUAGUAUCUAUCCUUUAGCAUCUAUAUAGCUAAUUUCAUUUUUUUCACAGGUGAAAGAUGAAACUUCAUCAGAUUUUGGGGAGCAGGAACUCCUCUAUAGUGCAGGUCAAGUGAGACGUAGCAGGUACCAUCCAAGGUUAAAGGUGUGAUAGAAGUAAACGGGUGACAACUUUCUUACAAACUUAAAAUAAUGUAUAUGUUCUAUUUCUCCCUAAACAGAUUUUCUUUGCUAUUCUGUUAACCUAUGACAUCAUGAUACUGUUUUCAUUGAGUGACAGAGGCUGUCUGAUCCAAAGCCACAGAUUUGGGGAAACACAAAACAUGUAUAUUUGCUGUAUGUAUUCAUUGAAGAAUACAUUUUUUUCCCAGUGUAUCAUCUCAUGUAGGAAACAAUAAAGAUACAUAUUAUGGGGUUCUGCAUUUUUAUAGCACCAUAUGGUAAAUAUGAAUAGCAUCCUCAAUGAAAUAACAAUGGCAACAACCACUACCCUCUUGGUUUUCUCCUGUCAAGAAACAUAAGUGUUGAGUUGGCUUUGUUAUUUGGCUGAAGUCAGCAGCAAAGAAAUCUGUUGACCAUGGACAGCAAAGAGGUUCUGGCUUAUUGAGGAGAAAGAUGACUAUUGGGGUGGUAAGCAAAAAGUGGAGGUUAGAGAAGCAACAUUGUCCCCACAAACACAUCUGGUCCAGUCUUUAAAAAAAUAUUUAUUUCUAUACUUUUCCUCAAAAGUAUAAAAUUGGAGCAAUAAAUGAACCUGAAUUGCAGAUAGUUUAACAGUGAUCAAAGUUAAAUGUUUAAUGUUGUCUGUAUGUAACUCCUUAUUAACUAAUGUAACACCUUUCAUAGAUAUCACUGAGCCAAACAUCAGCAGGAUUAAGUAAGAGUAUAAAAUAUUUCUGUGCUUAUUGAGAGCAUUCAGUCACAUUACAUUAGAAUAAAUUAUUUUCUAACAGUAUGAGCACUACUAUCUUAAAGAAGGAGCUACAGUGACUGACUGAUCAUUUUGGCUAGCCCAUUAUUUCCAGUGCAGGAGAUGACUUAAUAUGCAUUUUUAAACCUUGCUGUGACAUGUAAGAAGCCAACUAGAUGGGCAAUUGGUCUGAUGUGGCAUGGUUAUUCUUGUAUUCCUUAUGAUGGUUCUUAACUUUCUGUUUGUUUUACCAUUAUCCUUCUCAUAAUUUAGGCACAUUCUUGAGCACAUGAAAAUAAAUUCUUUAUUUCAGACACUUUAGCUGCCCCUAUCCCAUUGCCUUCUGUGCCUCCUGUCACAGUCUGAACCCACCUCCUCUCCCUUGAGUCCCUUUGUAUUUUUCUCCUUAAUUUUUGGCACCUUUCAACUCUGUGAAACAACAUUUAAAGAUCAGCCUAAAAGAUAAAUUAUUAACUCAUUUUCAUCUUUCUCUGCAGCGUAAUUCCAUAGGCUUGCCACUGUAACAAACGUGGCAGGGAUGCAAAGAAUGGCAAUAAAUGCAUACAAAGUCUCCUAGCAUCUAGGAAACAGAGCAACAAUUCAGAGGAAGAGGACGGCUGCUCUAAAUUCUGCUGAACAUGUCUGCAAAAUAUUUCUAAGGUAGGUGCCUGUCUGUUUUCAAACCCAGCCUUCAUUUGUCUCUUUUUCUUCCCUGUUUUUCGACCCCAGGGUUAUAUCCCUCUUCACACACCUGGAAGAGAGUCCUCAGAAGUGAUGCUUUGCUUCAGGUUUCCUCUCCUGGGCAGCUCCUGGGGGCCAGGGUGCAGCUGGCCUCAGCUUGCACUCCCCCACUGCUCCUGGCUCCCAUUCCACCCUCCCUGAUGUUCCUGGCGAUGGAGCUGUGUUGGAAACAGCCUUCUGGGCACUGUGCUCUGGGCAGUGUGAGCUAGGAUACAAAGCACAGCAUGUCUGCAGGGCUCCCAAGAAAUCCUACAGGGCUCCCAUGCUGGAAUCAUCCCCCCUGUGAGAUGGUGGAGUUUUCUGGCACGAGGAUGCAGAUCACAUCCCUCCUGCAGGAAGGCAGAAGAGGAGCUGGUUGACACCUGGGACACAGAACUCUUCCUACAUUCCCAGAGUCAGCACUGGUGAAUCUGGUUGGGGGAAAUAACUGCAUUUCACUAUGCUAUGUAGCCAGCACAAAGGAAACAGGACAGACUUCCACCCAUGACUUAGAAAUUUUUAGUGUAGAAACAGGUUCCUUGAGAACUGAGUAAAGCAGUUUUUGCUAGUCCACAGCCUAAGAAAUCUUUCUUGCCCUUCCUAAUAUACCAAAAAAAGCUUAAAAAGAAACACUUUCUCAAACAGUUUAAUUCCUGCUAUACCUUUUAAAAAUAGAGCUUAAGACUAGACAAGAUGGACAAAAGUCUGUGUCUAUCUUCUAGAAUUUCCUUUUUCCGAAGCAGUGAUCAAAAAUUCAGUGCCUGUAACCUAUAAAUCUGAAGGAUUCCACAUAGGUCAGUCUAAGUUAGGUGUCUGCAGGAUUCUGAUGAUUACUUUCUCUGAAUGCCCCUUUUCUUCAGUGUUGCUCCCAAGGUACUGUGCACUGGUGUUGCAGUGCACUUGUAUUGCAGUUUAAUCUGAGCAGGUUCCAUAAGAGUGAGCGAUGACAGUGUUCACAGGUUCUUGUUCACCUUCCUGCCCGUUCCUGACAAUGUCUCCUUAAGAAACCUGAGCUCAAACCACUAGUGGAAGGUGCUGG